AAUAAGUAGUUUAGUCUAAAUUGCCAAAACAAAUAAUAAUUAAAAACAUUUUUAAAUUUAGUAAAGGUGACAGAAAAUUAUUAAAUAUGAUCUAAGAAAAGUACCGUAAGGGAAAUAAAAUAAAUUAAGUAAUAAAAAAAUUUAAUAUUUGUACCUUUUGCAUCAUGGUUUAGCUAGAUACAUGUUUUUUCUUAGAUCUCUCGAAAUCUAAUGAGUUAUUUUUAUUCAGUAUAUUGGUACAAGGGAGUAGUUGUAGCAAAAACUUUCUUAGAAAUAAAAAUGGAAAUGAAAUUUUAUUCGUAUUAGAUGAUAGCUAGUUUUUCUAUAAAGGCAUAUAAGUGCUCUAAAUUAAUUUAAUUUUUAUAAGUCUUAGUAUAAAAAGAAUUUAAUUUAGUCAAAUUUUUGAGGAUAAGCUCGAAAAUUAAAAUUAUAUUUGCAUUAUAUUUUUAUUGAAAUUUAGGCUUGAAAAUAGCUAAAAUUUUGAGUUUGUUAUAAUUCAUUCAUUCAUUAAAAAAAUAAUCAAUUUGCUUAUAGUCAUAGAAAAAAAUUCAAUAAUUGAAUUGAAUUAUAUCAAUGCUAAAAUGAGUAUUCAAAAUAUUUUAUGAUUUUAACAACCUAUUAGUUAAGAUUUACAACUAUUUUUUCAAAAAAAAUUAUAGAAAGGAACUCGGCAAAUAUUCAUUCUGCCUGUUUAGCAAAAACAUGGCUCCUUGAAUUUUAAAGAUAAGGAGUCGGACCUGCCCAGUGAAUUUUUAACGGCCGCGGUACUCUGACCGUGCAAAGGUAGCAUAAUCAUUUGCCUUAUAAUUGAAGGCUAGUAUGAAUGGUUUGACAAGAAUGAGACUGUCUCUUUAUAAUUUCAUAGAAUUUUAUUUUCAGGUGAAGAAGCCUGAGUCAAAUUAAAAGACAAGAAGACCCUAUCGAGCUUGAAAAAAGUUAAUGGAAUUAAGUGUUAAUAUUUAUAAAAAAUUAUCCAUUAAAUAUUUUAGUUGGGGCGACUAAGGAACAUAGAAAGCUUCCUUUAUCAAGUUAAUUACAAUCAAACCAGAAUUGAUCCAAAAUACUUUUGAUUAAAGGAAUUAGUUACCGUAGGGAUAACAGCAUUAUCUUUUUUAAGAGCUCAUAUCGAAAAAAAGGUUUGUGACCUCGAUGUUGGACCAGAAUAUCCUAAAGGUGCAGAAGUCUUUAAGGGUUGGUCUGUUCGACCAUUAAAAUUCUACGUGAUCUGAGUUCAGACCGGCGUGAGCCAGGUCAGUUUCUAUCUUUAAUUGCUUUGGUAAAUUUAGUACGAAAGGACCAAUUUAUCAUAAUAGUUAUAUUUUUAUUGAUUAAAUUUAAUUAAAAACUAAAUAA
rnacentral:rRNA from 1 species